AUUUUUGUUACAUAGAAUAUAUAGCAUUUCUAGUGGUCUCAUAGAAUCAGUAAUUACCCAACCAUAGGCUAUUUCUUCCCUUGAAACUACUUAGUCAAAUUCCUAGACCUCGUCUCAAAGGCAUCGCAGCUGACGCUGCCCUCGACUCAAAGCAGUUUCAUCUAUCCGAAUUAUGUGUUAUGGCCUUCUCCUUCUUCUAUGGGUCUUCAGCUCUUAGUAGCUUCUCCGGGUUAUAGGCUAUUGUCAAUUACAUCCGGGUUAUAGGCUAUUGUCAAUUACAUCUUAUAAUAGGAACGGAUAUAAUAUAGUAGGGACCAAGCUACCAUGGCACGGAGGAAUUGCAUUUGAAGACAUAGCACCUAGACUAAACUAGAACAACAAGUGAUCUAUUUAUCAUUGCUUAACAAAAGCACUAUAACCUACCUCUUGCCUACCUGGUGCUCUAUACCAACCUAUAGUACUUAAAUCCAAGUUUGAAUUAAUUCAUUUCACUCAUAUACCUAUAGCUAUUGUUUGUAACCAGUAUUCAUGGCGUUAGUCCGAUCCGCGGGUGCCUCUAUUCAUUCUUAUAUAAGUCUCUAUUAGUUUCACUUUCCCCCAUACGAGUUGAACAAGCACUGCUUCCCCUUCAACCCUACCUUUUCGACUCAACCCUGCUAUAUGGGACAUCCAUGGUAGGGGGCCUGCUUCUCAUGUGUGGGAAGUUCAAGAAAGACCGAUCUAGGGCAAAGUUUGGUGGAUAGCAUUGUCCGACUGGGCCCGGCUAUCGACCGCGAAAGAGUGCUCCUGGGCUUCCAAGGUAAGGUAAAGGCGGUAGAACAACACCGCUCUGCUCUGGCUUGCUCUUCAAAAAGACGGUGUAUUAUCCUCUGCUUCCCAAGGGUCAGAUUCCCUCUGUAACUAAGGGAGAAGACCGGUCCCUUAUUCUUAUUCUAGGUUGAGUAGCCAGCAGCUGGGCUUGUGGAAUCCCGAGUCAACAUCUCAUUAGGUUUUUGUCAUUGCUAAACACAUGGGUGAUACUAUAGACUCUCCCAUACCUAUACACCUAUAACUCAUUUAUGACUUAACUGACUUUGCAUUUGAGUGCUACUUUGGACUACCAGUCUCCGGGCCAAGUUACUACUAGAGCAAGAAACCCUGCUAGAGCAAGAAACAACUUACUUAAUAGUAAGACUCGGAGUAAGAGUGAAAAGAGAUGAGCCAUAGAGUUAAUAUAAGAUAGAAUAAAUAAAUAAGAUAUAUGGAUUAGAUGUUCCAGCGAGUAGGAGCGGUAUCGGGUAAUAUAAGAGCAAGAGGUAAACAAGCAAGUAAAGAAGCUAGUUCAAAGGCAAGGGAAGCAGUAUAUUUACAGGGUUCUGACAAAAGGUCAUUUCUAUAGAACGAUGGCCUAAAGGGUAACUCGGUAGGUUAAAGGCUGUGCAAGAAUAGGCUUAGAGUAGUAGAGAGAGAAUCAGAGAUAUUGGUUCACAAAUAAGCAGCAAGCGUAAAGUAAAGUGAGGGUGUGUUGAGGAAGCAGUGCUUGGUAAGUAACCAAGAUAAGAAGCGGUUCAAUAGUAAUCUGUAAGCGUAAAGGGAGUUGGGUUCAGCUCGAAAGUCAGUUCAAGUUCCAGUCCUGUUUCGGGAGCAACAAGACGUGUAUUCAAGCCAUAUUUUCUCCCUUACUUCUUCCGCGCAGUAUCCUAUCGCUUUAGUUGAGUCUCCUUCGGGUCUGGUCUACUUUAUAUAAUUCUAUCAGUGGGAGUGGUGGCUCGAGAGAGAAAAGAAGUUCAAUAAAUCUGUGCACGUAAAGAGUUUGCCGGAAGGGAUGCAGUGUUUAGUAUAGAAUGAUUUGGUAAAUAAGAGGGAUUAAAAGCAGUAUGAGGAUUCAGUUUCAAGAUUAGAAGCCAGAGACUGAUCUGAAUCCAUACUGGUUAAGUCCACUCGAGGCAAUGUUGGUAACUCCACUUAUAGUCCCGCUGUAGCUCAAAGUAGUUACGUUCCACUUUCAUCCUAUUAAUAAGAAUAGAGGUAUUGCGGAAUCAAAGAGGUAUUUCGGUUAUUGAAUUGAAUGGUCUGAUUGCAUUGCCUUUAGCCCAAGCUGUCAACAAGAUCCGUUCAUGGCUCUAAGUCCGUAGAGACAGGUUCAGAUGCUUGUGUCUAAGGGGAGUAUUAGAGUGCAAAGUGAAAGUAGUAGAAGCCCCUCUAACGCUAGACGAAAACAGAAAUCGAAUUAAUAAAGUGCAGAAUAAGGAUAAAGAGAAUCCUUAAAUAGAACGUGUACGGAUAUCGGAUAGAAAGAAAUUGAACUCAACAAAUCACUAUUACCCGACCCUCCUUGAAACUAACUUAACGAUGCUAAUUAGAUCUAUGCAACUCGGUAAAGGGGCCCCAUUCACUCACCUAUGACUUAUGGUAUUAACGACUCUGGAAGAUAUAUCCUUAGGGGGAGCUACCUUCCCUCAGACAUUAGGCAAAUAGCGCAAAGCAACUACUUUUCUAUUUCCGACUCCGGGGAAACUGGGCUCCAAAACACAGGACUUGGCCGUAACUUGUGGAAUUCCUAUACUAACUAGCCUAUUCUUAGUCUUAUGAGUGGAAUUAGUAUACUUUGGUAGGUGUUUCAUUCUGAUUUGUGAGUGGUUGCAUACGGAGUUGUGCCGGGUAAGGGUGUCUAUUGCUAAUGAUUAUGUUUCUUCCGUUUUUCUUUUCUGUUCUUUCUUUUCCUUUUCGUGUUUCCCCCCUCGUUGUGUCUGUCUUUUUUCUGGAGAGUUGAGUUUGCCUGCAGCUUUUCCUUGUGGCUUCUCCGUGUUCUCUGUAGGCUCUCUGUUGUUUGUGAGCUCGCUUGUCCCGUAUGGUUCUCUGUUUGUUUCUUCUUCUGUUUCAUCUUGGUUUACCCUGCUCUGCAUUAUCUGUUUCAUCUUCUUUUACUGCAACAACACCUCUCCGUUCUUCUUUUUACCUAUCGUUAUUCUAUACAAAACGGAAACCUAUUAGGGAACUCAACAUAAGUGCCCCAACCAAAGAGAGUUACCAGGUUAAGAGCAACGAGGAAGCAGUAAAGAAAGUAAGUAGAGGCAAUAUGUGAGGAAGCAGUUUCAGAGCAUCGCCGCACCCGAUACUGAAGCUUCAAGAAGUAAUCGAUUCCGCUUCAUAUACUAGGGAGAUGGUGUUCAAUUGGCUCGAAAGAUUGUGUUCAAGCCCCAAACUAUAAAUCAGGGUUAUGUUCUUCAACUUAAGGCCUAUCCUCUGUUCCCGCCUUCCUGUUGAUUGAUUCUCUUUAUCCGAGUAACAGUACUUUACUUUAUACUUCACCUUAACCCUGCUCUGCUUUCCUGGCAAUUCUAGUCGAUGAAACUCAAACAAGGGAUUCAACUCUCACUGGAGCAGACCCUACCACUUACCUUUUACACCGCUUCUGAUUCUGAUGCCUUCUACUUUACUUGCUCUCAGCGUUCGAAAAGAGCUAGAUGAAGCUUCUUAAAGCGAUGGGUUUAGCUGACCAACUUACAAGAAUCACUCUGACCUGACUUUAGCCUUUACCGACACUGUGUAGCAUGAAGUAAAGUAAUCUCACUGCUCGAAGUAAAGCGCGUGGUGCAUCAGUGAGCUCCUCAAUUCUAUGAUUUUCAUAAGCAAGGGAAGAAACAAAGGCAAAAGAACGCACAACUGAACUAUAAUAAGUGUUAGUGUCCCGAACUACAAUAAAAAGUGAGCGCUAUAUGAGGUCAGGUCGUUUUUCUAGCUUAGCUUAGAGUCAAGGAGUAAUAGAGUGAGCAAGUGUUUUAGGGAGUUAUUUAGAAGCGUGAGUCUGGUUCCUUAUUCUAGCGUGAGGGGGCGAUCUUUACAUAGGCUAAAAGAAUUUCUACAGGCGAUAGGUGGUUGUAUAGGUCAUUUGCCAUAAUAUCCGUUAACAGUCUAUAAACGACGAUAAAGCGCUAAGCUAAGGUCUCUGUUAAAGGGAAAGGGCUAGAGCUUGAGUGGAAUCUCGAAUAUCAUCUCUUCUUUUCUCAUGCGUAAGUAGAAAGUAAGCUCCAAGCGCUAAGUCUCCAAGAGAUAGGAGGAAUAAUCCAAUUCUAUUCUUAAAGCAACUGCAUAAGCACCCACAGAAUAUGAGUAUGAAAUACAAACAAAGGAGCUACAGCAAGACAAGAAGCAAGGGUAAUAAUUUCUGAUAUAGGCAUUAGGAUUCUCACUAACACUGAAGACAGGCUCUUAACUCCUUCUUUCUGCUCGCAUAUAAGAUUUGAUUCCAAUUAACCUUUCUAUACGAUACAAGCGAACUCAACUCUGUAUACUCAACCUUGGUAAGGUUCAGAAAGAAAGUAAUCUGCAAGCGGAAGGGAGCAAGAUGGAUUGGAAGCUCCAAUGUCUACGAACAGCCGAUAGGAAGUCAAGAUAGGUAAUUGCAAUAAGAUGAGUUUCCCAUAGGUUCAACUUAGAGAAAUAAGUCCUAUUCAGCCUUAACUAGACUAGUGGUUCUUCUGCUUUAACCGAGUCGGCCUCUUGUUGGUAAUGAAACUUCUUGUGCUCAUAUUUAAGGCUGUAGCUCCUUGUCAUAGAGUUCCGUUUCUUCUUGACCUUGGUAGUGGAGAAUGAAUAUCCUGAGAAUUCUUAUUGCCCCACCUAAUAGGAAGGGAGUUGAGUAUAGACAUUAUUGGUAAUUAUACAUAGGAUUGAGCGGUUCAAUUCAAAAGGUGGUGUGGUGAUGAGCUCCUAACGUUGAGGCGUCAAAUGCCGUAUAAUAGCUUUACGGGGCAGUAUUUGAUUCCUAUAAUUCUCUGAGUUUCCCCCCUGUCUUAAAUGAUGAAAAAAGGGCAUACUAAGGUCUCUUGUUAAGGGAGUUUGAGUUCCGCCUUACUUGCCUUAUUCUCAGGUCUCUGGUUUCAUGAGAAACUUCUUCAGCGCGGUGUCUAGGUUCGGUGCUUGUGUAUAGGCUUGGAAAGUGCAGUUCCGGGGCAGGCAACAACGUAUAAGUGCCUUCACUUGACUUUCUAUCUUCGGCUUCUUAUCCUUCUUUUGCAUCGCUUUUACCUGUAUGCCUAUAACGGAGCCCUUGUGGCGGUAAAGAACCUUAUCUCUACUUUCCACUUUAAGUAAAUAAACCCUUGUCGCUUUAACUCCCUUGUUAGUUCCCUUGCUUUCGAACUUUAAGAACGAAUGUCGGCUAACUCCCUAACGCUUGUUGGGCUCAGGUCUCUACUUCAAUCAAAGACGGAACUUCUGGACUGAAGAAAAGAAAGAAGUCUUUUGAGGCAGUGUUUAAGUAGAAAGAAUAAGUAUAAAGCAAGUUCUAGUAGAUCUAAUCUCGCCCGAAGGUGCCUUCACGGAUCUUAUUAGUCUAUACCGGAACAAGCAAAUCACUUACUUUACUUUAGAAACCCAAAAUGUGAUGUUUGACUUUAAGCCGAGGUGUCACUCGCAUUAGCGCAACCUUCCUUUACCGGACCC
rnacentral:lncRNA from 1 species